rnacentral:lncRNA from 1 species
CUACAUAACCCUGAUUCUCACUUUGAGAAUAUGUAGGAGCAAGGUCAAUCCUUGUCGGGCACAAAAAAAAUAAAAAAUAUAUUUUGAUUCUUUAGAGUUUUAUUUUUAGGGAUGAAUAAACAUUUUGAAAACCACAUCACAUUCGCAUAUUUAAUUAAAGGUAUUGCCUUAGGGCAGGCGUUGUAGGGUGUUAAUACCUUCCC